rnacentral:rRNA from 1 species
UAGGGGUGAAAGGCCAAUCAAACCCGGAGAUAUCUCGUUCUCCCCGAAAUAGCUUUAGGGCUAGCGUCGCGCGUUCACCGCCGGAGGUAGAGCACCGGAUGGACGAGGGGGCUUCGCCGCCUACCGAAUCCAACCGAACUCCGAAUGCCGGCGGCCCAGAGCGCGGCAGUCAGAGCAUGUGGGCUAAGCUGUGUGCUCGAGAGGGAAACAGCCCGGACCGCCCGCUAAGGUCCCCAAGUUCCAGCCGAGUGGCAAAGGAUGUGCGUCCGCCCAGACAACCAGGAUGUUGGCUUAGAAGCAGCCAUGCAUUCAAAGAGUGCGUAACAGCUCACUGGUCGAGUGGACAUGCGCCGACAAUACACGGGGCUAAGCUGGACACCGAAGCGGCGGGAUUUUAAUUCAUUAGAAUCGGUAGGGGAGCUUCCCAUGGGCGGAGAAGCCGGAGGGCGACCGACGGUGGAGCGCAUGGGAGUGAGAAUGCUGGCAUGAGUAGCGAGAGACGAGAGAGUAACUCGUCCGCCGUGAACCCGAGGUUUCCUGGGCAAGGCUAAUCCUCCCAGGGUCAGUCGGGGGCUAAGGCGAGGCCGGGAGGCGUAGCCGACGCGCAGCAGGCAGACAUUCCUGCACCGCGCACGCGGCGCUACGACCGACGGGGCGACGGAUGGGGGUGGCUCGGCGGGGUUCUGGACGUCCCCGUGAUGGAGCGCGGCCCGCGGACCAGGGAAAUCCGGUCCGCAUCAAGGGCGAGGCUCCGGACGAAGCGACUGAGCGAAGCGAGUGAGCCCGAGGUCCCUAGAAAAACCCCUAGGCAGGCGCGUGCGCGCCCGUACCGCAAACCGACACAGGUGGGUGGGUAGAACAUACCGAGGCGAUCGGGUCAACCAUGGUCAAGGAACUCGGCACAAUGGCCCCGUAACUUCGGGAGAAGGGGUGCCCGCGCGUACGUGAACGGACUUGCUCCGGGAGCGGAGGCGGGCCGCAGUGGAGAGGCCCAAGCGACUGUUUACCAAAAACACAGGACUCUGCAGAAGCCGCAAGGCGACGUAUAGGGUCUGACGCCUGCCCGGUGCCGGAAGGUCACGCGGAGGAGUUAGCCAUUUCGGCGAAGCCCCGAAGCCAAGCCCCGGUAAACGGCGGCCGUAACUAUAACGGUCCUAAGGUAGCGAAAUUCCUUGUCGGGUAAGUUCCGACCUGCACGAAAGGCGCAACGACUUGGGCGCUGUCUCGACCAUGGACCCGGUGAAAUUGCACUGGUCGUGAAGAUGCGACUUACCCGCGGAAGGACGGAAAGACCCCGUGAACCUUCACUGCAGCUUGGCAUUGGCCGCUGGUCCCGCGUGUAGAGGAUAGGCAGGAGGCAUCGAUCCGGAGGCGCCAGCCCCCGGGGAGCCGCCCUUGGAAUACUGCCCUCGCGCGACCGGCGUCCUAACCCGAGGCCGUCAACCGGCUCGGGGACCGUGCCAGGCGGGCAGUUUGACUGGGGCGGUCGCCUCCUAAAGGGUAACGGAGGCGCGCGAAGGUCCGCUCGGGACGGUCGGCAACCGUCCUUUUGAAUGCAAGAGUACAAGCGGGCUUGACUGCGAGGCCCACAAGCCGAGCAGGUGCGAAAGCAGGCUCUAGUGAUCCGGCGGCCCCGAGUGGGUGGGCCGUCGCUCAACGGAUAAAAGGUACUCCGGGGAUAACAGGCUGAUCUUGCCCAAGAGUCCACAUCGACGGCAAGGUUUGGCACCUCGAUGUCGGCUCAUCGCAUCCUGGGGCUGUAGCAGGUCCCAAGGGUUGGGCUGUUCGCCCAUUAAAGCGGUACGCGAGCUGGGUUCAGAACGUCGUGAGACAGUUCGGUCCCUAUCCUCCG